GACGAACGCUGGCGGCGUGCUUAACACAUGCAAGUCGAACGGAAAGGCCUGCUUUCCCUUGUGGAUUGCGGGUACUCGAGUGGCGAACGGGUGAGUAACACGUGAGUGAUCUGCCCCCAACUUGGGUAUAAGCCUGGGAAACUGGGUCUAAUUCCCGAUAGGACUGCAGGGUGGUGCCUGUGGUGGAAAACGAUUUUCUAGUGGUUGGGGAUGAGCUCGCGGCCUAUCAGCUUGUUGGUGGGGUAAUGGCCUACCAAGGCGGCGACGGGUAGCCGGCCUGGGAGGGUGGACGGCCACAUUGGGACUGAGAUACGGCCCAGACUCCUACGGGAGGCAGCAGUGGGGAAUAUUGCACAAUGGGCGGAAGCCUGAUGCAGCGACGCCGCGUGGGGGAUGACGGCCUUCGGGCUGUAAACUCCUUUCGGCCGCGAGGAAGCCACCUGGUUGGAAGGGUGGUGACGGUAGUGGUAGAAGAAGCACCGGCUAACUACGUG
rnacentral:rRNA from 1 species